rnacentral:rRNA from 1 species
AUUGAACGCUGGCGGCAGGCCUAACACAUGCAAGUCGAGCGGAGCGGCGGACGGGUGAGUAAUGCCUAGGAAUCUGCCUGGUAGUGGGGGAUAACGUCCGGAAAGGGGAGCUAAUACCGCAUACUAUCAGAUGAGCCUAGGUCGGAUUAGCUAGUUGGUGGGGUAAAGGCCUACCAGGGCGACGAGCCGUAACUGGUCUGAGAGGAUGAUCAGUCACACUGGAACUGAGACACGGUCCAGACUCCUACGGGAGGAAGCAGUGGGGAAGUUUGGAAAAUGGGCGAAAGCCUGUUCCAGCCAUGCCGCGUGGGUGAAGAAGGUCUUCGGAUUGUAAAGCACUUAAAGUUGGGAGGCGUUACUAACAGAAUAAGCACCGGCUAACUCCGUGCCAGCAGCCGCGGUAAUUC